GAUGAACGCUGGCGGCGUGCCUAAUACAUGCAAGUCGAGCGAACAGAUGAUGUCCUUGCUCCUCUGACGUCAGCGGCGGACGUGAGACUAACACGUGGAUAACCUACCUAUAAGACUGGGAUAGCUUCCGGAAACCGGUGCUAAAUCCGCACAAUACAUUGCAUCGCACGGUUCAAUAGUGAAAGACCGUUUACCUGUCACUUAUACAUGGAUCCGCGCCGCUUUCGCUAGUUGGUAAGGUCACGGCAUACCACGGCGACUAUGCGUAGCCGAUCUGAGAGGGUGGUCGGCCACACGAGAACUGAGACACGGUCGAGACUCCUACAGGAGGCAGCAGUAGGGAAUCUUCCGCAAUGGAGGAGAGGCUGACGGAGCAACGCGGAGUGAGUGAUGAAGGUCUUCGGAUCGUAGAACUCUGUUAUUAGGGAAGAACAAAUGUGUAAGUAGCUAGGCACGUCUUGACGGUACCUGAUCAGAAAGCAACGGCUAACUACGUG
rnacentral:rRNA from 1 species